UAUAAAAGAAGGGACCAAGCUCUUUGGAUUCUUCGUCCGGUGACAGCCUACAGUUUGAGCUUCACUUCUUCACAUUCAUCUCUCCUUUCCUUAUUGAAUCUCCCAUUUCGAUCUAUCAGGAGUUGGAACAAAUAUCAUGGCUAUUGAGGCGGGUGCAAUGGUAUCGGAUUUACUUAAGGGGUUGAUCAAUAAUUUAGCCAGCCCAAUUUUCACAGAGUUUACAUCCUUAUGGAACAUGAAGAAAGAUCUCAGUAAGCUGAAAGAAGCGUUGGAAAUGAUUCAGGCUUUCCUCGUCGAUGCUGAGCAGAAACAGACAAAAAGUAAGGCAGUGGAGACUUGGUUAAAUAAACUCAACGAUCUGGUUAAUGAAGCAGAAGACAUAUUGGACGAGUAUGCUGCGCAUGUUGGACGAAUGGAAUCAAGUGAAGCGAACAAACAGGUGUGCUGCUUCUGCUGCUUCUACUUCCUUUUUAAUUAUUGUAAUCCAAAGGUUGUUUGGUUUAACUAUGGGAUAGCAUCCCGGGUUAAGCAAAUCAACCAAAGCCUGAAUGGGCUUAAUGAUGAAGCAAAUAAAUUGGGUUUGCAACACAUCAAUGUUGGAGAGAGGUCAAACACAGGAGGAGCUCAAAGUAGUCGGCAAACGACUUCCCUUUUUGAUAAGGAAUCUUGUUUUUAUGGUCGAGACGCUGAUAAAAACAAGAUAAUUUCCAUAUUGUUGUCUUCGGAAGGUCCGAGUGGUGAAAGAAAUAAUUAUAGAGUGCUUCCCAUAGUUGGUAUGGGUGGUCUGGGCAAAACUACACUCGCUCAGUCUGUAUACAAUGACGAGAGAGUGCAGAGUUAUUUCAACCUCAAAGCAUGGGUUUGUGUGUCAGAAGAAGCUGACUAUACUAAGUUAACAAGAGCUAUCAUCGAGUCUGCCACUAGAAAAGCUUGUAUGCUCAACGGUCUAGAGCCACUCCAAGUGGAACUUGGGGACAAGUUACGUGCGAAGAAGUUUUUAAUCGUUCUAGAUGAUGUCUGGAACGAGAACGAGGAACACUGGGAACAAUUACGGAAACCAUUCCAGUGCGGAGAAAAUGGGAGUAGAGUAAUAGUGACCACCCGAAGUAAAAAGGUUUCAUCUAUCAUGGGUACCUUUCCUCCUCACCCUCUAGGUCUCUUAGAAUAUGAAGAUUGUUGGUCAAUAUUAAGGCAACAAGCGUCUCUUGAUGAUGCUGUUUUGAAAGAAAAUCCAAAUUUGGAAGCAAUCGGUAGGAAAAUUGUGGAAAAAUGCAAGGGUGUGCCUCUUGCAAUAAAGACGGUUGGAGGUCUCUUACGUUCUAGAAUUGAAGAGAAAUAUUGGAAAUCUGUGCUAGAAAGUGAAAUGUGGGAAUUAGAAAACGAAGAUGAUGACCAGCAGAAGAAGGGUAUAAUGCCAGCGCUGAGAUUGAGUUAUCAUCAUCUCCCAGCGCAUUUGAAGCGCUGCUUUGCUUUUUGUUCCAUAUUUCCUAAAGACUACAAGUUUGAGAAGAAAGACUUGGUUUCAUUAUGGAUGGCGGAAGGAUUUAUUAUAGGUUCCACUGAAGGGAGGAGACAAAUGGAAGACGUAGGCGGUGAAUAUUUUGAUGAGCUAUGUUUUAGGUCAUUUUUCCAAUAUAAUGAUCGCUUUAUCAGAAAUGUGUGUUUGAUGCAUGACCUGAUCCAUGAUUUGGCACAAUCUAUUUCCAAGGAUAAAUGUUUUAUAGUAAAACGAUGUCUUAAUACUCCCAUCAAGGGAUUCAAGGCUUGCCAUUUGUCAAUAUAUCCUACAACGUCAAGGUCAAGAGAUGAUGACGAGGAUGGUAAUGACGAUGAUAAGCUACUACAACAACAACAACAAUGUGUUGAUGCCUUGGGCCAGUUAGUUAAGAGUAAGAAUAUCUCACCGCGCACAUUUCUGCUACGUGGUUCUUCUUAUUUGUUUUCACGAGAAAGAUUCUUAAUGCCAGGCCUUGUAGCAAAGCUUGGUGAUAUAUUUUAUACAUGGAGGUGUUUACGUGUAUUGAGCUUGCGCUAUCUUGACCUGGAAGAUGUUGGGUUGUCAGAUUCCAUCGGCAACUUAAAAUUGUUAAGAUUCCUUGACCUCUCCUAUACUAACAUUAGAAGACUACCGAAAUCAGUUUGCAGACUCUACCAUUUACAAACAUUGCUACUUGAGGGCUUGGAAUAUAUUGAGGAAUUAUCUGACAACUUACGUAGCAGCCUUGUUAACAUUCGACUUAUCAAGAUGGACAACUAUAAGUGUAGAAUAUUAAUCCCACGGCCACGGGGAGAGAAAAGCGGUAAGGAUGGAGUUGGAGAUGACUUGAAGUUUUAUGCUAAGUGCAUCGAGGCAAGUAAUCUUAUGAUUUCAGGGUUAGAAAAUCUUGCAGCCACCAACGACAUUGCAGAUGUCAUUUUCAUGAAGAACAGCAACCAACGUCUUACAUUAGAAUGGGAUUAUAAUGUCUUCUUUGGACAUGGAGAAGGAGCAGCAGCUGUGGCCCAACAAGUGAUCGACUCUCUUCUUCCACCACAGAAAGCUGAUAGGAAGCUAAAUGAACUCAAAAUCAAGGGGUAUAUUGGUGAAAGAUUACCUCAUUGUAUAGCAGAGAUGUCCAUACUACAUAGACUGGAAUUGCACAAUUGUAGAUGUGAGGUUAUCCCUCCUAUUGGAAAGCUACGAUCUCUCUGCUACCUGGUAAUAAAAGAAAUGGAUAAUUGGAAAGCUGCGGAAUGGUCAUCAUCCUCAAGUGGAGAAAACAUAGACCAAGUGGAAAUGGAAGGUGAUCCUGGCCUACAACAAGCAUCCUCCUCCUCUUCUUUUUAUGCUCAACAAUAUCAACCACUUUUCCCUAGGUUAACUGGCCUUGAGAUAUAUGACUGCCCCAAGCUAAGAGCAUUGGAGGUCUCCCACCCCAUUCCUUCCUUGACAACAUUGCGCAUAGAAAAUUGUGAACGAUUGGAAUCCCUACCAGAGGAGAUGAACAACUUAUUCACAAAUCUUAGACAGAUUAAAAUCGUUCGAUGUCCUCGCCUAAUCGCAUUUUCUCAAAGAGGAUUGCCAACUGAGCUAAAGGUACUUGAGAUAGAAGAGUGUGAGGAACUCAGAUCCCUUCCUCCAGGUAUGCACAACAUCACAUCUCUUAUACAGUUAAGCAUAGUAGGAUGCCCUCGCUUAACGGUCUUUCCCGACGGAGGAUUGCCAACCAACAGUCUGUGGACUUUUCAGGUAGGAGAAUGUAAGGAACUCAGGUCCCUACCUGAAGGGAUGCACAACAUUUCUCUUCUAGAUUUAGCCAUUGUAAGAUGCCCUCGUCUAAUGGCCUUUCCAGCUGGGGGGUUGCCAACCCAACUAGUUCAUCUCCACAUCAGCGGAUGCGGUGAGGACGACAGGGAACUACUCCCACCCGAGGGUGUUGGCUUGCACCAGCUUACAUGUCUAGAAUCGUUGAUCAUCAGGGAUUGUACAGGUCUCGUGUCCUUUCCAGAAGACGAGGAUUGGCAACUGCCUACAUCUCUUAUAUCCCUGGGGAUUUAUAACGCUCCGAGGCUAGCAUCCUUGCCGGAAGCCGGACUCCCCCCUCAACUUAAGGGUCUUGAAAUCAGUGGUUGUCCUCUUUUAAGCAAAUCUUGCAGAAAGAAUAAAGGGAGAGAUUGGCCCAAGAUAGCGCACAUUCCCUUUAUACAAAUUGAUUGCCAAUGGAUCCAAUUUACAAAGGAGUUAUUGGAACAUGAUGGGUAUUGAUUGCCAAUGGAUCCAAUUUACAAAGGAGUUAUUGGAACAUGAUGGGUAACUUAUGGUGGUGAAGUUGACUACAAAAAUAUGGAUGAUAUAACAGCGUUGCCUGCUCCCCAGUGGCCGUUAAUAUUUUGUGUUCUGCUGAGUCCCCUCUUUCACAAGUACACAGCUUUCAUGGUGAUGCCUCACUUCUACAAUGACCGCAAACAGGGGAUUCUUGUUGAUUUAUGUCAAAGCAGUAAUCAGAUUCACAAUGCUCUAAGGCUCCAAGGCUUGUGAUGUUGCUGGAAAGGAGACUCCCCUCCAAACUUAAAAUAAAAAUCAAUGGUUGUCCUCUUCUACGAAUUCCUGCAAAAAAGAAUGUAGGGAGAGAUUGGUCCAAAGAUAGCUCACAUCCCGACCCCAAUAACGAUUGAUGAUGGGGGUUCACAUUUAUUCUAUAAAUUGAGAAAGACAAAGCAGGACCGUUGAACAGCGUUUUGUACCUUUUGUCCCAUACCAAUAGUCCAGAGACUCGACUCAAUUGAACUGGUAAGUUUCAUAUACAUCUUGCUGCCAAAUCAUCAGGGUUGCGUCAAAUUGAUAGAGAAUAUAUUUAUUGUUCUCUACUACUUUCUAUUCCAGGGAACACCUGGGACCAAUGAAGCUGUAAAUUUCAUUUUGGUGAAAUAAUGGUUUGGAAUGAGGAUUGAUGAAAAAGAAGCAGAAAACAAAGACCAAAUUUAAUAUUCUGGAAACUUGAAUUGAAGGUUUUAAUUUGUACCUUGGGAAACCCUAAGAAAAUUGUCCCAUGCAUAACUUAUAGAGGUUUUUCUGGAUUAAUUUUUAUGUUUCUGCUUUUUCUUGGGUUUGAUAUUUUCUCUUUGGGAUGAAGGAGAGCAUUAAAGAAAAUCUGCCAUUUGUCGGUAAUCAAAUUACAUUUGAAACUUCA